GAUGAAGAACGUAGCGAAAUGCGAUACGUAAUGUGAAUUGCAGAAUUCAGUGAAUCAUCGAAUCUUUGAACGCACCUUGCACCCUUUGGCUAUUCCGAAGGGUAUGCCUGUUUGAGUAUCAUGAACACCUCAACUCUCAUGGUUUGCCAUGAUGAGCUUGGACUUUGGGGGUCUUGCUGGCCUGUGGUCAGCUCCUCUCAAAUGGAUUAGCUUGCCAGUGUUUGGUGGCAUCACAGGUGUGAUAACUAUCUACGCUUGUGGUUUUCCACCAGGUAACCUUCAGCAAUGGGGGUUCGCUGGGGCUCAUAAAUGUCUCUCCUCAGUGAGGACAGCUCUUUGAACGUUUGAUCUCAAAUCAGGUAGGACUACCCGCUGAACUUAAGCAUAUCAAUAAGCGGAGGA
rnacentral:misc_RNA from 1 species